rnacentral:rRNA from 1 species
AUUUAUAAAUUUAUUUUCAAUUUUUUUAAAAAAAAUAAUUUUUAUUUUUAUUAUUUUUAUAGAAAAAAUUAUUUUAAUUAUAGGUUAUAGUAUAGUAAUAGAAUAUUUAAUUAUAUUUAAAUUUAAAAUUAUAAAAAGAAUAAUUUAUUUUUUGUACCUUGUGUAUCAGGGUUGAUUAAUUAAAGAUUAUAAAUUUAAUUUUCUCGAUUUUAAAAGAGUUAUAAAAUUAUAAAUUUUAUUGUUAAAUUAAUAUUUAAAAUAAUUUUAUAGUAAUGAAACGUUAUUCGUUUUUAAAUAUAUCUAGUUUUUUUAGAAAUAAAUUUAAUUUAUUUAUUAAUAAAAAUUUAUUUAAAUAAUAAAUUAAAUUUUUAUUAAUAUAUAAUAUUUUUAGGGAUAAGCUUAAAAAUAAAGUUUUAAAAAAUUUUUUUAUAUUAUAAUAAUUGUAGGAUUAAAAAUUUCUUUCAUUAUUAAUUUUUUACAAUUAAUUUUAUUAUUAUAUAUUAUUUAUAUAAUUUUUAUAUUUUUUAUAAAAAUAAUAAAUUUAAUUAUUUAAUUUAUUUUAUUAUGAUAAAAUUAGUAUAAUUUAUUGUUUAUUUUAUUUUUAAUUUAAGGUUAAAUUAAGGAAUUCGGCAAAUAAUUUUUCGCCUGUUUAAUAAAAACAUGUCUUUUUGAUAAUAAUUUAAAGUCUAACCUGCCCACUGAAAUUUUUAAUGGCCGCAGUAUUUUGACUGUGCAAAGGUAGCAUAAUAAUUAGUUUUUUAAUUGAAAGCUAGUAUGAAUGGUUGAACGAGAAAAUUACUGUCUCAAUUUAAUUAAUUUAGAAUUUUAUUUUUAAGUUAAAAAGCUUAAAUUUAUUUAAAAGACGAGAAGACCCUUUAGAGUUUUAUAUAUAUUUAUAAUAAUGUUUUUAGAAUUUUUUUUAUUUAAUUUUAUAUUUUAUUGGGGUGAUAUUUAAAUUUAUUUAACUUUAAUUUUUAUUUUACAUUUAUUUAUGAAUUUUUGAUCCAUUGUUUAUGAUUAAAAGAUUAAAUUACCUUAGGGAUAACAGCGUAAUUUUUUUAGAGAGUUCUUAUCGAAAAAAAAGAUUGCGACCUCGAUGUUGGAUUAAAAUUUAUAUUUGGUGUAGAAGCUAAAAUAUUAAGUCUGUUCGACUUUUAAAAUUUUACAUGAUCUGAGUUUAAACCGGUGUGAGCCAGGUUGGUUUCUAUCUUUAAUAAAUUUAUAUUUUUUAGUACGAAAGGACCAAAUAUAUAUAAUAAUUAUUUUUUUUUGACUAUUAAU